UACGAAGGGUGUAAGCGUUACUCGGAAUUAUUGGGCGUAAAGGGUGCGUAGGCGGUUUGAUAAGUCAUCUGUGAAAUCUCUGGGCUCAACCCAGAGUCUGCAGGCGAAACUGUCGGGCUUGAGUAUGGGAGAGGUGAGUGGAAUUUCCGGUGUAGCGGUGAAGUGCGUAGAUAUCGGAAGGAACACCUGUGGCGAAAGCGGCUCACUGGACCAUUACUGACGCUGAUGCACGAAAGCUAGGGGAGCAAACAGG
rnacentral:rRNA from 1 species